UACGUAGGGGGCAAGCGUUGUCCGGAAUCAUUGGGCGUAAAGAGCGUGUAGGCGGUCCGGUCAGUCGGUUGUGAAAGUCAAGGGCUCAACCCUUGAAUGCCGGCCGAUACUGCCGGGCUAGAGUCCGGAAGAGGUGAGUGGAAUUCCUGGUGUAGCGGUGAAAUGCGCAGAUAUCAGGAGGAACACCGAUGGCGAAGGCCGCUCACUGGGACGGUACUGACGCUGAGACGCGAAAGCGUGGGGAGCAAACAGG
rnacentral:rRNA from 1 species